CCUACGGGUGUCAGCAGUGGGGAAUAUUGCACAAUGGGGUGAACCCUGCUGCCGCGACGCCGCGUGAGUGAAGAAGUAUUUCGGUAUGUAAAGCUCUAUCAGCAGGGAAGAAGAUGAAGGUACCUGAAUAAGAAGCCCCGGCUAACUACGUGCCAGCAGCCGCUGUAAUACGUAGGGGGCAAGCGUUAUCCGGAUGUACUGGGUGUAAAGGGAGCGUAGACGGCAGGGCAAGUCUGGAGUGAAAGCACGGGGCCCAACCCCGUGACUGCUUUGGAAACUGCCAUGCUGGGGUGCUGGAGAGGUAAGCGGAAUUCCUAGUCUAGCGGUGAAAUGCGUAGAUAUUAGGAGGAACACCAGUGGCGAAGGCGGCUUACUGGACAGUAACUGACGUUGAGGCUCGAAAGCGUGGGGAGCAAACAGGAUUAGAUACCCGGGUAGUC
rnacentral:rRNA from 1 species